ensembl:lncRNA
UGCAAUGUUGCAACAGCAGCCUAUGCAAAGCUUUGGUUUGGUAUCACUUCUUAACACUAGAAACUUGGAAGCACAUAUCUGAGGAAACCAGGCUUCACUACACUGUUGGUUUUGGAAAUAAUUCCUUUUAAGAGAUGAAUAGUAAUUUACACAUUAUUGGAUUAUCUAAUCAACAUGAAAAUGAUUUUACUUGAACAUAGGGAAUCUUAGAGUUUGUCCUCCUCCAUAGGCUGCUGUCAGAGAUGGGUUAUUAAGCUUGAUGGACUUGAACUGAUAUGGUUGCUCCUCUGUUCCUUUGGCUUAGUCAUGAACAAAUGAAAACUAAUUUUGGCCACUCAGCAUUCUGCAAACCAUACAAUCCUCUGCACAUGGUAAUUCUGCAAGAGUAAGCUUUAAAAACGAAACUCUUGUUCUCUGUAGGCACUAGAGAUGCAAAUUUGGUGGGACAGAAUCUGAAGGCUAUCUAUCUCCUCAGCUGCCCUUUCUACAAUGUAAUAUUUCCUUUGCACUUACUUUGAAGUGGUUGUUUUUAAGCUCAGUUGUGUACAUACAAAAUGAUCUCUGAGGAUGAAAGGUAAUAUGAAACUAAAGAAAGACUUUGAAACAUAAUGCAUGAAAGAGGAAGGAAAGUAGAAGAGAUGCACUGUCAUUCACCAUUAAUCAUUUCAGCUGGCUACACCUAUGUUAAAAAUGCAUGUGCAUGUAUUUACACAAUACACAAUCAUGCAAAGAUGCAAAAAGUACGCUGACUGCAUGUUUGUUAUGUACAUUGAGUGCAUGUGAGGCUACAACAGAAGUAAAUGAGAAUGACACUGAAACAUGAGGUGUAAGCUAAAGGGAGUGUUCGAACUGCUGGAUGUUCAGUGAUGUAUGGAGCUGACAUUUGCAAAUCUAAGUUAUAUAUUCUGUUUUCAUUUCUUGACCCUGUCUGUAAAGCAAUCCUUCCACCAGACAGGGAAAAGGAAGAAGAGACAUAAUCCUGAGAGCUGCUUGGCCGCGAGGUGCUUCAUUGUACAUUUUUGUUCAUGGCCCUGAACCAAGCAGGUGAGUUAUAUUUCUGCUUAAGGUCCCCGGCCUUUAAAUUCUUUGAAGUGGGACUGGGAGAAGGGCAAUUACCAACUGUAUGCGUGGAGAUCUCUAAUGGGGUUUCCCCGUCUUUUUGUAGCUGAGCAAUACUAAAGAAAAUUCUUGUCGUUUGCCCCACAGGUAAGCUAAUAGGUAGUCACCCACAAGCAAGGUAUUUGCUUGCUAGUUGCACUUAGAGCCAUGUGAGAAUAUGAAUCUAGAUAGUCACCAAUUAUGUCACUCAGUGAGUGAGCUGACUAGAUUAGGCAUAGAGAAGAUAUUAAUUAUGCCUUGCUAAUGACUGUGAGGUAAUGUUUGCCUUUCUUUAUAUAGCUGUUCAGAGUGGUAGGAGGUAACUGUGCUGCUGUGGGAUAGCUUGUGAACUGGAUUGACGAUACUGGGUUGAGGGAGUGGUUGUGGGAUAGUUUCUGGAAAUGUGUGGUGGUAAAUACUUAUGUGAGCACAUUAGCACAGUGCCUGCAAAAUGCUGACACUGAUAGGUGAUUUAUGUGAAGAUCUCCAUGAAUGUAACUAAAAUGAUGGUGGCUGAAAAAGACAUAGUAACAAGGACAGGUAGGAUACAGAUGUCACUAGGCCCCCCUGCCUGAAGUGAUAAUCAGUGAAUUGGCUUUUGAGACUGGAAAUACACCGAAAAUGUUGAGGCUGAGGAAUGCGGUGUAUUCAGGAGCAAUAGCAGGCUGUAAUACGGAGAUGUGGUGUCAAGUGGGAAGUACUGUUGAUGGCACU